rnacentral:rRNA from 1 species
UACGGAGGGUGCAAGCGUUAAUCGGAAUUACUGGGCGUAAAGCGUGCGUAGGCGGUUCGUUAAGUCUGUUGUGAAAGCCCCGGGCUCAACCUGGGAUGGCAAUGGAUACUGGCGAGCUAGAGUGUGUCAGAGGAUGGUGGAAUUCCCGGUGUAGCGGUGAAAUGCGUAGAGAUCGGGAGGAACAUCAGUGGCGAAGGCGCCAUCUGGGACAACACUGACGCUGAGGCACGAAAGCGUGGGGAGCAAACGG